GACGAACGCUGGCGGCGUGCCUAAUACAUGCGAGUAGAACGCACAGUUUAUACCGUAGCUUGCUACACCAUAGACUGUGAGUUGCGAACGGGUGAGUAACGCGUAGGUAACCUGCCUGGUAGCGGGGGAUAACUAUUGGAAACGAUAGCUAAUACCGCAUAAUAUUGAUUAUUGCAUGAUAAUUGAUUGAAAGAUGCUAUUGCAUCACUACCAGAUGGACCUGCGUUGUACUAGCUAGUAGGUGAGGUAACGGCUCACCUAGGCGACGAUACAUAGCCGACCUGAGAGGGUGAUCGGCCACACUGGGACUGAGACACGGCCCAGACUCCUACGGGAGGCAGCAGUAGGGAAUCUUCGGCAAUGGACGAAAGUCUGACCGAGCAACGCCGCGUGAGUGAAGAAGGUUUUCGGAUCGUAAAGCUCUGUUGUAAGAGAAGAACGGGUGUGAGAGUGGAAAGUUCACACUGUGACGGUAUCUUACCAGAAAGGGACGGCUAACUACGUG
rnacentral:rRNA from 1 species